rnacentral:misc_RNA from 1 species
UGGUUCUGGCAUCGAUGAAGAACGCAGCGAAAUGCGAUAAGUAAUGUGAAUUGCAGAAUUCAGUGAAUCAUCGAAUCUUUGAACGCACAUUGCGCCCCUUGGUAUUCCGAGGGGCAUGCCCGUUCGAGCGUCAUUACACCAAUCAAGCCUCGCUUGGUAUUGGGCCCCGGGGGCGACCCGGACCUGAAAACCGUCGGCUGGAAAUCUCUAAACGCAGCGUCGUGGCAUAACAACUCGCCGACGGGAGGAGAGUUCUGCGCCGGAAAAUCCAUUCAAGGUUGACCUCGGAUCGGGUAGGGAUACCCGCUGA